rnacentral:tRNA from 1 species
GCGGAUGUGGCGGAAUGGCAGACGCAGCAGACUCAAAAUCUGCCGAGCAUAACACUCGUGAGGGUUCGAGUCCCUCCAUCCGCA